UUGAUUAUUUAACACGCGUUCGUCAUGAUUUGCUGCCUUAGGAGUGACAAAAUUAGGAGUUUGCUUUAUAAUGAAAUCUAAAAUUUCAACGAAGAUUAAUUAAAUGUUCUGUACAAUUUCCCAAUUGUAUUUCCAGCUGUCAUCUCUUAGGAGCGUAACAAUGGAUUUCACUAGCGCGCCCAACAGUAAACAAAGUGGACAUCAGCGCGCAAUCAUACAUUUAGAUAUGGACUACUUCUAUGCACAAGUUGAAGAAAUAAAAAAUCCCUCUUUAUGUUCUCAACCGUUAGGAGUACAGCAGAAGAACUUUGUAGUCACUUGCAAUUAUAAGGCUCGCUUUCACGGUGUAAAAAAAUUAAUGCUUGUUGCAGAUGCUAAGCGUUUAUGUCCCGAUUUAAUUUUAGUAAAUGGAGAGGAUCUGACACCUUAUCGUCAGAUGUCUCAAAAAAUAUAUGAACUACUUCUGAACUUUACAUCUUCGGUGGAAAAACUUGGACUGGAUGAGAACUUUAUGGACGUUUCUAUGUUGGUCGAGGAACGUAAACAGCAAAUGAAUACCGUCUGCAUGCCAAAUGCAAAUUUAUCCCCUGUUGAGGGCUUCAUUUAUCCCGCUGACGGUAUGAAUUUAAAUGCUUGUAGCUGUGGAUGCGCUUACCGUUUAACACUGGCCACUCAUAUCGCUCAAGAAAUAAGAAAAGAAUUGCAUGCCAAACUCGGCAUAACCUGCAGUGCAGGAAUUUCCUACAAUAAACUUCUUGCCAAACUUGUGGGUGCUCAAAAUAAACCAAAUCAGCAAACUGUUUUGGUGUCGUCUUACAGUGAGCAAUUUAUGCGUAAUUUGUGCGGGUUGCAUCGAGUAACAGGAAUUGGCCAAAAAACUGAAUGCCUUUUACUUGAGAGUGGCAUCGCCAAUAUUGAAGAAUUACAAGGCUGUGAUAUGGACAUACUCCGUAAGAAAUUUGGCUACGAAACUGCCAUAAAAUUGAAGGAUUUAGCUUUUGGUCGCGAUACGGGCACGGUAAGAACCACCGGAAAACCAAAAAGCAUUGGAUUGGAAGAUUCAUGCAAACCAAUAUCAGUACGAAAUGAAGUCGAGGAACGUUUUCGUUUAUUGCUAAUGCGUUUAAUGGAACAGCAGGUUGCUGAAGAUGGCCGCAUCCCAAUAUGCAUUAAAGUUAUUCUCCGUAAAUACGAUGCGCAGAAGAAAAGCAGUCACCGCGAAACAAAACAAGCUAACAUACUGCCGUCGCUCUUUAAGAUAACUCCAUGCACAGACACUGGCGGUGCAAAAGUGAUAUUUACGGAAGGAGCUCAAGAGAAGCUCUUGAAAAUCAUUAUGCGAUUGUUUGAGCGUGUGGUUGAUUUGGCUAAACCUUUUAAUAUUACUCUAAUUGGACUAGCUUUCUCCAAAUUUCAGCAACGCAAAAUAGGCUCUUCAUCCAUAGCAAAUUUUCUUAUCAAAAAGACUGAUUUGGAGGUCCAGUCUAUUACAUCGCUUAUUAAUACAGAUGUUGAAUCCUUUACGGAUAAUCUUUCACCGCUCUCCAGUAACUCAUCUGAGGCAUUCCGCUCUUCGCCGACCACGUUUCAGUCAAGCGAUCAAUUCUAUCGGCGACGAACAAUGACUGCUUCUCCAAUUCCGAUGUUAGUAGACAACGGAUCUGAAUCAGCCGCAACUAAUUCGGAUUUUUCCGAUUUCUCCGAAACGGAAGUUGAACCAUCUCCUAAGAAGACUCGUCUUGGACGUUUGCUUAUAAACAAGCGUCGUUGCCUAGGCAACUCUGCCCUUUCGAAUGAUACCACAGCUGACAUAGCUUCACCAAGUAAACUAAGAGUGUGCGAUUUGCGAUUGAAUUCCCGUGACAGCGACAGAGAUAUUCCUAUUAGUCCUAAUGCAAAUAUCAGCCAAAAUACCAUUUUUACAAAUAUUAGCACUUCAGGUGGCGUAACUCAAGUGCAUCCGCGUUUACCGGCUGCUCCACAAUCUGCUGUGUUACAUCAACGCGUUGAAACAUUUCAAGCAAACGACGUCCACAAUUGUAAUCCUCAAAAUUCCUUAUCAGCUGCAGCCUUUACAUUGCCAUCUUCAAUGGAUGACAAUAAUAUGGAUUCACCACCGCCUCAGGCCGUUCCAGCAUUAAAUUCAGAGAAACCAAAUAAAAAUGAAACGGAUUCGCAAACUUCUCCAAUAACAACUGAAAGUACAACGACGGGAGGUUUAUCGAAUGUACCAUGUCCAGCAGGGGUAGAUCCGCAAGUCUUCAAUGAACUGCCAGUAGAUGUACAAAAGGAGCUAAUCAAUUCGUGGCGUGAUUCCUUAGCAGCUGCUAUAUCGAAUGGUAACAUCUCACAGUUGGGUUCUCCCAAGGAAAUAUCGAAUGCGGACCACAGAGGCAUGAUUCCUCAGCACCAAAAGUCAGCCGGCAAUGCAACUGCCAAAACGGCUGUGGCCAAUGCUAAUGGAGUUCAGAAAAAUACCCUUUACCGAUACUUUUUACGCAAUAAGUGAUGCCGCCCUUGUAUGUACCAUGCUUCGUAUUAUUACUUGAAGAAAAAUUAUUGAACCAUUGAACGUGUGAUGUUUAAACAAGCAAUUGUAGAAUACUAAUAAGCACACACGCCAUAUUGACUUUUUGGAUGAAAACUGAACAGUAUUGCCAAAUGCAACAUUUUAUCC